CCGCCGGUAGCGGGUGCACGAAGUGGACGGGGCCAGGCCUAACCUUCGCUGAACAGGAUCAACGUUGGUUCAAACAUUAUGUGCACGGCUUGAGAGGGUCGAAGCUUGUGCAUUUCAAUUUCGCAGGAGUUCUUCUUCGGUCAAGUCCAUCAAGUCAAGGUCAGAAAUUACGCCUUUGGCCGUAUUCAUGUUUCGGUGCGCUGUUACACUGACGGGGAUGUCUCCAAGUUCUACAAGUAUGAUGCUCCAAUCAAAGCGUUCUAUCCUUCGUCGAAAGUCG